AGAUUAAGUUAUUAAGGGCGCACGGUGGAUGCCUUGGCACUAGAAGCCGACGAAGGACGUUACUAACGACGAUAUGCUUUGGGUAGCUGUAAGUAAGCGUUGAUCCAGAGAUUUCCGAAUGGGGGAACCCAGCACGAGUUAUGUCGUGUUAUCGACAAGUGAAUUCAUAGCUUGUCAGAAGGCAGACCCGGAGAACUGAAACAUCUUAGUACCCGGAGGAAGAGAAAGAAAAAUCGAUUCCCUGAGUAGCGGCGAGCGAAACGGGAAGAGCCCAAACCAAUAAGCUUGCUUAUUGGGGUUGUAGGACACUCUAUACGGAGUUACAAAGGAAUAUAUUAGACGAAUCAUCUGGAAAGUUGAAUCAAAGAAGGUAAUAAUCCUGUAGUUGAAAAUAUAUUCUCUCUUGAGUGGAUCCUGAGUACGACGGAGCACGUGAAAUUCCGUCGGAAUCUGGGAGGACCAUCUCCUAAGGCUAAAUACUCUCUAGUGACCGAUAGUGAACCAGUACCGUGAGGGAAAGGUGAAAAGUACCCC
rnacentral:rRNA from 1 species